rnacentral:rRNA from 1 species
AUGGCCUCCGCCGCCGCCGCCGCCGCCACCCGGGCGAACAGCCUCUCCCGCAUCUUCUCCUCCUCCUCGCCAACGGCAAAACUACCCAAGCGCAAUCCCAAGACCAAGAGCGCGCCGGCGCCGACGCCGACGCCGAAACCGCCCGCCGCCGAUGCUGACUCCAUCGCGGGCCAGAAGCUCCUGAAGCCCCUCGGCGCACAGCCCGCCGCCAAAGCUGAGUCCGACGCGGACCGCAAGCUCCCGAAGCCCCUUGACGAUAUCCUCAUUGCCCUCAUCCGGCAGCGCAACCCUGAUAAGCUGGUCUCCGAGUUCGUCCAAGCGUCAACCGUGUCGUCGCGCUUCCGCGAGCGGCACCGCGUGUACGAGGUAGCGGUAAGCCGCCUCACUUCCUUUGGCCGCCAAGACGGCAUCAAGGCCAUCAUCGAAGCGCAGAAGCCCUUCCUCGAGACCUCAAACGAGGGGUUCGCCACGCGCCUCAUCCGCCUCUACGGCCGUGCCUCCAUGCCAUCCCACGCUGCCGCAACCUUCCAUGAACUUCCCACGCAGCAUAAAUCCACCAUGACAUUCAACGCCCUUCUUGCAGCGUAUGCAGAAGCCGGGGAUUUGGACGGGCUCACUGCUGCAUUCCGGGAGAUCCCAGCCACCCACCCCUCGAUUGUUCCCAGCGUAUACUCUUACAACAUACUCAUCCGCGCAUUGUGCCAGAAGUCUGACCUCUCAGCUGCUCUUGAGGCCGUCCUUCUCAUGGAGAAGCAUGGUAUUUCACCUGACAUUAUUACUUUCAACACGCUGUUGAAUGGGUUUUGCAACAAUGGCCCCACGGAUGAAGCAGAGACAGUAUGGGAGAUGAUGAAGGAGAGGAAUUUGGAGCCAGAUGCAAAGUGCUACAAUGCCAAGCUGCGGGGUUUGGUUGCAGAAGGGAGGACUGAUGAUGCAGCUGCCGUGCUUGAGAGGUUGGAGAAGGACGGGCCAAAACCCGAUACAGUAUCCUACAAUGAGUUGAUUCGAGGAUAUUUGAAAGCAGGGAGGUUACAGGAGGCCAAGAAGCUGUAUGAUGAUUUGGGAAAAAAUCACUGUGCCGCAAAUAAGGGAACAUAUGAGACUCUCGUGCCACACCUUGUGCAGGCUGGAGACCUGGAUUGUGCACUGAGGUACUGCUAUGAAAUGUUUAGUAGUAAAAGGAGCAGUAGAGUGGAGUGUGGUGUGCUGCAGGAUGUAGUGAAUGCAUUGGUAGAUGCAUCGAGGGUGGAGGAGGCUGCCAAGCUUGUUGAUAUCGGGCGGAAGAAGUACUACUACUCACGAAAGGGUUUGAGGAUGCCAGGUAGUGCAAAAGGCAGUGAAUUAAGAGCUGAAACUGAUGAGGAAGAAGCAAUAUCAGAAGAAAAGGAGUGUGAAGUGGAAGACGAGACUGAAAAGUAA